rnacentral:misc_RNA from 1 species
CCCAGAGUCACCGCCAGAAUCACCGCCAGAGUCACCGCACCGCACCGCAUCGUCCAACAAGCACUGUUCAACAGCAAAGCUGGUUGAGGGAGAACCAAACAGCACGAAACAGUACUCGGACAGGUACUCACGCAGCACGACAAGAUUAGCCGAGAUCAAAGGCAAACGAAAAGGAGGUGAUGUUUUGUGGGGAAACGAGCAACUAUAGCCUGGUACAGACUGGAUCGGCGCCGAGACCAUUUGUGCCGAGACCUUUCAACGGCCAACGAGAGUGAAGUGCGAGUAAGAGUCAACGAGAGUAUGGUGCGAGUCAGAGUCGACGAGAAGUUCUGCCCGAUGACGGUGCGAGUCAACCCAAGUGGAAAUGCCGUACCCUCUAGAAAUGUCGCACUUGUACUCGCUAAAAAACCUCUUGUAGAAACUGGCCAUUCUCCCUGCAUUUUUCACUACCACCACUCCCCCAAAGGCAAUAAUAUCCCGCCAAGAUGCCAAGACGAGUAUUGUGGGGGACAAUGAUCGUCGUACUCGUCGUCAGAACAAUGUCGUUGUAGACUAGGCGAGUGUGGCAAAGGGGAUGGCGAAGGGUAUGGCGAACACGUGAUCCUAAGAGGUUGGACUGAGCAUUUCCUUUUGUGUAGUCAGAGCAGAUUAUGGGCACUUGAAUGGUCGGACGUAAGGUACUUACCACUCCCUAUUCAUACCACAUUCUACUCUCUUCACCACCACCGCUCCUUGACUGAUGACACCACAGAGAAAUGACACCUGAGAGAAAUGACAGGCUGCAGAGUUGUGCAGGGUGUCUGUGUCACUUGGACCCUGGCGUGAGACCGUGUUUGUGGCGGCGAUACUGACAGACAGGAGCGUUGCGUCGACCGAGUCGUUGUGGCGGUGAAAGACCCAUUGAUCGGCAUCCCGCAUCCGCCUUCUCCGCCUCUUCCGCUCUCCGCCUUCUCCGCCUUCUCCGCCAGUCUCCACUCUUGCUCCAUCUCGCCCCAUCGCUCCAUCGCUCCAUCUCGCCCCAUCGCUCCAUCGCUCCAUCUCCCCGGCUCCACCCCGGCUCCACCCCGCUGUCAGUGCCUGAAUCAGACACGAUCCACUGCCGCAUUUCCCCAGGUGUCUCAGAUGAUCCAACUCCGUUUGGCCCGUCUUUGGCUGCGGAUCUUGUGUCAACUCCAAAACCUCCGCAACUCGCUAAUGCAGAAAGUCUGACUAGGUUCGGCGAUCACUACUGCUUUUUGCAAUAUGACACACGAGUCCUACAGGGGCCCAAGCCCGGAAACGGGAGCAGACAGGUGGCAUGGGCAAUAUCAUCGGAGCCUUGUCGUAUGUGCGAAAAGCGAAAAUAACCCAAGGCUGGAAUGCACGGCUAGAAUACUGCACGGCUGGAAUAAUUAUUUUCCACCUUUCCAUUUCCCACUCCUUU